CUUUGUCUUUCUCUGUAGUGCCCAAAGGAAAACACAUCCAGAUCUGUGUGGCGUUCGAUUCCGAUCGCCGAAAUGCAGGUACGCACAGGAAGAAGGCGCGUGCAGCACAGUUUUGCAUUCUGUCUAAGGAGGUUUCAGUUUCCAUCGCGGCCGCCGGAAUGUUGGGUUUGAGACGAGGAGAUUGGGCCGAUCUAUGCGUGUUGAGUGAGGACAAUGUAUCUAUUCUGGGAUCUUGGAUUGUUGUUUGCAUAAAAGGUGAUUUGAGAAAACGCUUUCUAAUGACGCAGCAGGCCGCACUUUCUUUUGCGGACAGUUCAUUUGUAUCAGUAAAUGUGGCGGUUCUCUGUGCAACGCAACAAGGAUGAGAGCCGUUUCAAGGCACAUCGUGGCUACUUUGGUAUCCCGAACUCGAAUACGUUUGAAAAGAGAAGGAAUACGCACGGUGUAUACCGAAUAUAACGCAUUCGCCACUCCUGCCAUCGAAGGUGUAGACAACGUAGAAGCAAGGAACAUCCCACAGAUUUGAUUUCUCGAGUGUUACGACUUGCUCUGAGGGCUCAAACUCCCGAAGCAUUAUAUAUGCAUAUACAUAUAUAUAUAUAUAUAUAUGUGGGGCUACAUGAAUACGGC
rnacentral:lncRNA from 1 species